rnacentral:rRNA from 1 species
GUGCCAGCAGCCGCGGUAAGACAGAGGCCUCGAGCGUUAGGCGGAAUCACUGGGCUUAAAGCGCGUGUAGGCGGAUCGUUAAGUGCCUUGUGAAAUCCUGCGGCUCAACCGCAGAACUGCUGGGCAUACUGGCGAUCUUGGGCCACUCAGGGGUCACUGGAACAAGCGGUGGAGCGGUGAAAUGCGUAGAUAUCGCUUGGAACGCCAAAGGUGAAGACAGGUGACUGGGGGUGUGCCGACGCUGAGACGCGAAAGCCAGGGGAGCAAACGGGAUUAGAAACCCUGGUAGUCC